UGCCCAGCAACUCCUAUCCCUACCUCCACGUGGUACCGGCCGGAAACUAUGAGCAACCUUAGGGAAGAUCGGGUAACCAACCCCGGUGGGAACUUUGGUCGUAGGCUGACAAAGAAGG
rfam:Aedes albopictus isolate Foshan contig82806, whole genome shotgun sequence.